CCCUUAGAUGUUCUGGGCCGCACGCGCGUUACACUGAUGCAUUCAACGAGUUUUUGUACCUUGGCCGAGAGGCCUGGGCAAUCUUUUGAACGUGCAUCGUGAUAGGGAUAGAUUAUUGCAAUUAUUAAUCUUGAACGAGGAAUUCCUAGUAAACGCAGUUCAUCAAACUGCAUUGAUUACGUCCCUGCCCUUUGUACACACCGCCCGUCGCACCUACCGAUUGAAUGGUCCGGUGAAGCCUCGGGAUUGUGGCUUGUUUCCUUUAUUGGAGAUUAGUCGCGAGAACUUGUCUAAACCUUAUCAUUUAGAGGAAGGUGAAGUCGUANCA
rnacentral:rRNA from 1 species